AAAUUGAAGAGUUUGAUCAUGGCUCAGAUUGAACGCUGGCGGCAGGCCUAACACAUGCAAGUCGAACGGUAACAGGAAGCAGCUUGCUGCUUCGCUGACGAGUGGCGGACGGGUGAGUAAUGUCUGGGAAACUGCCUGAUGGAGGGGGAUAACUACUGGAAACGGUGGCUAAUACCGCAUAACGUCGCAAGACCAAAGAGGGGGACCUUAGGGCCUCUUGCCAUCAGAUGUGCCCAGAUGGGAUUAGCUUGUUGGUGAGGUAACGGCUCACCAAGGCGACGAUCCCUAGCUGGUCUGAGAGGAUGACCAGCCACACUGGAACUGAGACACGGUCCAGACUCCUACGGGAGGCAGCAGUGGGGAAUAUUGCACAAUGGGCGCAAGCCUGAUGCAGCCAUGCCGCGUGUAUGAAGAAGGCCUUCGGGUUGUAAAGUACUUUCAGCGGGGAGGAAGGUGUUGUGGUUAAUAACCGCAGCAAUUGACGUUACCCGCAGAAGAAGCACCGGCUAACUCCGUGCCAGCAGCCGCGGUAAUACGGAGGGUGCAAGCGUUAAUCGGAAUUACUGGGCGUAAAGCGCACGCAGGCGGUCUGUCAAGUCGGAUGUGAAAUCCCCGGGCUCAACCUGGGAACUGCAUUCGAAACUGGCAGGCUUGAGUCUUGUAGAGGGGGGUAGAAUUCCAGGUGUAGCGGUGAAAUGCGUAGAGAUCUGGAGGAAUACCGGUGGCGAAGGCGGCCCCCUGGACAAAGACUGACGCUCAGGUGCGAAAGCGUGGGGAGCAAACAGGAUUAGAUACCCUGGUAGUCCACGCCGUAAACGAUGUCUACUUGGAGGUUGUGCCCUUGAGGCGUGGCUUCCGGAGCUAACGCGUUAAGUAGACCGCCUGGGGAGUACGGCCGCAAGGUUAAAACUCAAAUGAAUUGACGGGGGCCCGCACAAGCGGUGGAGCAUGUGGUUUAAUUCGAUGCAACGCGAAGAACCUUACCUGGUCUUGACAUCCACAGAACUUUCCAGAGAUGGAUUGGUGCCUUCGGGAACUGUGAGACAGGUGCUGCAUGGCUGUCGUCAGCUCGUGUUGUGAAAUGUUGGGUUAAGUCCCGCAACGAGCGCAACCCUUAUCCUUUGUUGCCAGCGAUUAGGUCGGGAACUCAAAGGAGACUGCCAGUGAUAAACUGGAGGAAGGUGGGGAUGACGUCAAGUCAUCAUGGCCCUUACGACCAGGGCUACACACGUGCUACAAUGGCGCAUACAAAGAGAAGCGACCUCGCGAGAGCAAGCGGACCUCAUAAAGUGCGUCGUAGUCCGGAUUGGAGUCUGCAACUCGACUCCAUGAAGUCGGAAUCGCUAGUAAUCGUGGAUCAGAAUGCCACGGUGAAUACGUUCCCGGGCCUUGUACACACCGCCCGUCACACCAUGGGAGUGGGUUGCAAAAGAAGUAGGUAGCUUAACCUUCGGGAGGGCGCUUACCACUUUGUGAUUCAUGACUGGGGUGAAGUCGUAACAAGGUAACCGUAGGGGAACCUGCGGUUGGAUCACCUCCUUA
rnacentral:rRNA from 2 species